rnacentral:miRNA from 1 species
UGAUAUGCUAGAGUGUCGGUUCU